UCUCCGUAGGUGAACCUGCGGAGGGAUCAUUACAGAGUUCAUGCCCUACCGGGUAGAUCUCCCACCCUAUGUUAUUAUUACUUUGUUGCUUUGGCGGGCCGUUAGGCUCCGGCCCGACUACCGGCCCCGGCUGGUAAGCGCCCGCCAGAGGACCCAAAACCCUGAAUAUUAGUGUCGUCUGAGUACUAUAUAAUAGUUACAACUUUCAACAACGGAUCUCUUGGUUCUG
rnacentral:misc_RNA from 1 species